GAUCAUUAUUGAAAUAAACCUGAUGGGUUGCUGCUGGUUCUCUAGGGAGCAUGUGCACGCUUGUCAUCUUUAUAUCUCCACCUGUGCACCUUUUGUAGACCUGGAUCUUUUUCUGAAUGCCUAGCAUUUAGGUUUGGGGAUUGACUUUUUGUCUUUCCUUGCAUUUUCAGGCCUAUGUUUCUUCAUAUACCCAUGUAUGUUAUAGAAUGUAGUAAAUGGGCCUUUGUGCCUAUAAACCUAUACAACUUUCAGCAACGGAUCUCUUGGCUCUCGCAUCGAUGAAGAACGCAGCGAAAUGCGAUAAGUAAUGUGAAUUGCAGAAUUCAGUGAAUCAUCGAAUCUUUGAACGCACCUUGCGCUCCUUGGUAUUCCGAGGAGCAUGCCUGUUUGAGUGUCAUUAAUAUAUCAGCCUCUUCAGCUUUUGCUUGUUGAGCGUUGGAUGUGGGGGUUUCUUUUGCUGGCCUCUUCUGAGGUCGGCUCCCCUGAAAUGCAUUAGCGAAACAUUCUGUUGACCGUUCAUUGGUGUGAUAACUAUCUACGCUAUUGACGUGAAGCAGGUUUGGCUUCUAACAGUCCAUUGACUUGGACAAUUUUUCAUUAAUGUGACCUCAAAUCAGGUAGG
rnacentral:rRNA from 1 species